UACGUAGGGUCCGAGCGUUGUCCGGAAUUAUUGGGCGUAAAGAGCGUGUAGGCGGCCAAAUAGGUCGGUUGUGAAAACUGGAGGCUUAACCUCCAGACGUCGACCGAAACCAUCUGGCUAGAGUCCGGAAGAGGAGAGUGGAAUUCCUGGUGUAGCGGUGAAAUGCGCAGAUAUCAGGAAGAACACCCGUGGCGAAGGCGGCUCUCUGGGACGGUACUGACGCUGAGACGCGAAAGCGUGGGGAGCGAACAGG
rnacentral:rRNA from 1 species